rnacentral:rRNA from 1 species
GACAGAGGAUGCAAGCGUUAUCCGGAAUGAUUGGGCGUAAAGCGUCUGUAGGUGGCUUUUUAAGUCCGCCGUCAAAUCCCAGGGCUCAACCCUGGACAGGCGGUGGAAACUACCAAGCUGGAGUACGGUAGGGGCAGAGGGAAUUUCCGGUGGAGCGGUGAAAUGCGUAGAGAUCGGAAAGAACACCAACGGCGAAAGCGAGGUCCUGGACGUUUACUGACGCUGAGACGCGAAAGCCAGGGGAGCGAACGGG